rnacentral:ncRNA from 1 species
AUAAAUCUGCCACCGGGUAGGAAUUGCCAUGAGCAUUCGCUGCACAUCGUUAGGUCUUUGAAGAUGUGCAUCGGAUGUUUAUUUUUUU